rnacentral:rRNA from 1 species
GGAAAACUUACCAGGUCCAGACAUAGUGAGGAUUGACAGAUUGAGAGCUCUUUCUUGAUUCUAUGGGAGGUGGUGCAUGGCCGUUCUUAGUUGGUGGAGUGAUUUGUCUGGUUAAUUCCGUUAACGAACGAGACCCCCGCCUGCUAAAUAGGUCCGUGAAUGAAUUUCAUUGACGAGAUCUUCUUAGAGGGACUUUUGGUGACUAACCAAAGGAAGUUGGGGGCAAUAA